AAUGAACGUUGGCGGCGUGGAUUAGGCAUGCAAGUCGAACGAGAUCUGUAGCAAUACAGUGAAAGUGGCGAAAGGGAGAGUAACACGUAGGUACCUGCCCUCGGGUCUGGGAUAGCUGCGGGAAACUGCAAUUAAUACCGGAUGACGUCUCUGGACCAAAGGUGUGAUUCCGCCAGGGGAUGGGCCUGCGUCCUAUCAGCUAGUUGGUGUGGUAACGGCGCACCAAGGCUAAGACGGGUACGGGGUGUGAGAGCAUGCCCCCGCUCACUGGGACUGAGAUACUGCCCAGACACCUACGGGUGGCUGCAGUCGAGAAUCUUCCGCAAUGGGCGCAAGCCUGACGGAGCGACGCCGCGUGUGGGAUGAAGGCCUUCGGGUUGUAAACCACUGUCAGUGGGGAGCAAAUGCAUCGGGGUUCUCCCUGGUGUUUGAGCGAUCCGCAGAGGAAGCACAGGCUAAUUCCGUGCCAGCCGCCGCGGUAAUAC
rnacentral:rRNA from 1 species